rnacentral:rRNA from 1 species
AAUAGAUACCCCGGUAGUCCACGCCGUAAACGGUGGCACUAGAUGUGGGGCGUCUUUCCAUGAGUUCCGCGUCGCAGCUAACGCAUUAAGUGCCCCGCCUGGGGAGUACGGCCGCAAGGCUAAAACUCAAAGGAAUUGACGGGGGCCCGCACAAGCGGCGGAGCAUGCGGAUUAAUUCGAUGCAACGCGAAGAACCUUACCAAGGCUUGACAUAUACGGUCUAUCCCUAGAGAUAGGGAGUGCUUCGACGCCGUAUACAGGUGGUGCAUGGUUGUCGUCAGCUCGUGUCGUGAGAUGUUGGGUUAAGUCCCGCAACGAGCGCAACCCUCGUCCUAUGUUGCCCAGCGGAUAAUGCCGGGGACUCAUGGGAGACUGCCGGGGUCAACUCGGAGGAAGGUGGGGAUGGAGGUCAAAUCAUCAUGCCCCCUUAUGUCUUGGGCUUCACGCAUGCUACAAUGGCCGGUACAAAGGGCUGCAAUACCGGCGAGGUGGAGCGAAUCCCAAAAAGCCGGUCUCAGUUCGGA